GAUGAACGCUGACAGAAUGCUUAACACAUGCAAGUCUACUUGAAUUUGGGUUUUUUAACUUAGAUUUGGGUGGCGGACGGGUGAGUAACGCGUAAAGAACUUGCCUCACAGCUAGGGACAACAUUUGGAAACGAAUGCUAAUACCUGAUAUUAUGAUUAUAAGGCAUCUUAGAAUUAUGAAAGCUAUAUGCGCUGUGAGAGAGCUUUGCGUCCCAUUAGCUAGUUGGAGAGGUAACGGCUCACCAAGGCGAUGAUGGGUAGCCGGCCUGAGAGGGUGAACGGCCACAAGGGGACUGAGACACGGCCCUUACUCCUACGGGAGGCAGCAGUGGGGAAUAUUGGACAAUGGACCAAGAGUCUGAUCCAGCAAUUCUGUGUGAACGAUGACGUUUUUCGGAAUGUAAAGUGCUUUCAGUUGGGAAGAAAAAAAUGACGGUACCAACAGAAGAAGUGACGGCUAAAUACGUG
rnacentral:rRNA from 1 species